rnacentral:rRNA from 1 species
GCAACUGUUUACCAAAAACACAGGUUUGUGCUAAAUCGAAAGAUGACGUAUACGAGCUGACGCCUGCCCGGUGCUGGAAGGUUAAGAGGAGAUGUGCAAGCAUUGAAUCGAAGCCCCAGUGAACGGCGGCCGUAACUAUAACGGUCCUAAGGUAGCGAAAUUCCUUGUCAGGUAAGUUCUGACCCGCAUGAAAGGCGUAAUGAUUUGGGCACUGUCUCAACAGCCCGCCCGGCGAAAUUGUAGUACCGGUGAAGAUGCCGGUUACCCGCGACAAGACGGAAAGACCCCAUGGAGCUUUACUGUAGCCUAAUAUUGGGUUUCGAUGUUGCAUGCACAGGAUAGAUGGGACACAGGGAAACAGGAGCUUUGGCUUCUGCGGAGUGGCCGUUGGGAUACCAUCCUUGCGAUAUUGGAAUUCUAACCUGCGGCUCUGAAUCGAGUCGGGGGACAUUGUUAGGUGGGCAGUUUGACUGGGGCGGUCGCCUCCUAAAAAGUAACGGAGGCGUUCAAAGGUUCGCUCAGCUUGAACGGAAAUCAAGCAAAAGAGUGCAAACGCAGAAGCGAGCCUAACUGCGAGACUGACGGGUCGAGCAGUAACGAAAGUUGGAGUUAGUGAUCCGGUGGUAUGUGAGUGGAAAUGCCAUCGCUCAACGGAUAAAAGUUACCCUGGGGAUAACAGGCUGAUCUCCCCCAAGAGUCCACAUCGACGGGGAGGUUUGGCACCUCGAUGUCGGCUCAUCGCAUCCUGGGGCUGUAUUCGGUCCCAAGGGUUUGGCUGUUCGCCAAUUAAAGCGGUACGCGAGCUGGGUUCAGAACGUCGUGAGACAGUUCGGUCCCUAUCUGUCGUGGGCGCAGGAUAUUUGAUGGGAGCUGUCCCUAGUACGAGAGGACCGGGACGGACGUACCUCUGGCGCACCAGUUGUUCCGCCAGGAGCAUAGCUGGGCAACUACGUACGGAUCGGAUAAACGCUGAAAGCAUCUAAGCGUGAAGCCGACCCAAAGAUAAGAUAUCCCAUUGUUUUAAACAAGUAAGACCCCUUGAAGACUACAAGGUUGAUAGGCACGAUGUGUAAGUGGAGUGAUCCAUUCAGCAAGCGUGUACUAAUAGGUCGAGGGCUUGACCAC